AAAACACUAAGUUAAAUAAACUUCAAGUUUUCAAAACUUGCUAUGAAUAAAAUAUUCGUGUUUUA
rnacentral:tRNA from 1 species